CAGCAGUCGCCACGGUAAUACGAGGGGUGCAAGCGUUAUUCGGAUUGAUUGGGUGUAAAGGGUGUGCAGACGGCUUAUUAAGUCACUUGUUAAAUUCUUCGGCCUAACUGAAGGUCUGCAAGUGAUACUGAUGAGCUAGAGGGUGGAAGAGAGAAGUGGAAUUCUCGGAGUAGCGGUAAAAUGCGUAGAUCUCGAGUGGAACACCAAUGGCGAAGGCAGCUUCUUGGUCCAUUCCUGACGUUCAUACACGAAAGCGUGGGGAGCGAACAGGAUUAGAUACCCCGGUAGUCCCUGUCUCUUAUAA
rnacentral:rRNA from 1 species